rnacentral:tRNA from 1 species
UGGGAUGUAGUUUAGUGAUAGAGUGCUUGCCUAGCAUGCAUGAGGCACUGGGUUGGAUCCCCAGCACCUCAA